rnacentral:rRNA from 1 species
CCUACGGGUGGCAGCAGUGGGGAAUUUUGCGCAAUGCUCGUAAGAGUGACGCAGCGACGCCGCGUGAAUGACGAAGGCCUUCGGGUCGUAAAGUUCUUUCGACAGGGAAGAAAAUGCAUAUAAGUAACUGUGUAUGUAUUGACGGUACCUGUAUAAGCAGCCCCGGCUAACUCCGUGCCAGCAGCCGCGGUAAUACGGAGGAUGCGAGCGUUAUCCGGAUUUAUUGGGUUUAAAGGGUGCGUGGGCGGGAUGCCAAGUCAGCGGUAAAAAUGCGGUGCUCAACGCCGUCGAGCCGUUGAAACUGGCGUUCUUGAGUGGGCGAGAAGUAUGCGGAAUGCGUGGUGUAGCGGUGAAAUGCAUAGAUAUCACGCAGAACUCCGAUUGCGAAGGCAGCAUACCGGCGCCCUACUGACGCUGAGGCACGAAAGCGUGGGUAUCGAACAGGAUUAGAUACCCUUGUAGUC